AUGUGGAUUUGUCGCAAUCGGGCCACUUUCGAAUGCAAAAAACUGAGAACUCCUUUUGAUGUGGUUUUCUCUGCAUGUGGUUACAUGAACUAUUGGGCAGGUCUGAUGGAGGGAGCUGAUCGUGAGGCGAUGCAGCGCGGCGCUAAGAUGCUCAAGACCAACACAGCUGCCAUGAUGAGGAUUUGCGCGGCCCCAGCUAGAACGGCGAUGGACUGA
rnacentral:rRNA from 1 species